rnacentral:lncRNA from 1 species
AGAUCCGACACCUUCCCACAACCCAAUAGCCAUGUCUGAGUUACUACCAGUGAAGGUGAAAGUAAGUUUGAUGCUUUAUAUGUAUAGAAACAGAAGCGAAAUAAGUAAUGAUGUAUGAAGGAUUAUCUUACUAUAGGCAUAUGGUUAAACUUUUGCAGAGCUAGGAGAUUCAGUAAAAGGUUUGAUCUGGGCCAGCAAUUAGGUUAAGAAAUUUUAAGGAUAUUCUUUUGUUCUCUUCGAUUAGUUUCAGGGUUUGAUGUUCUUGCCCGCUACGGUGCGAAUCUGGCCAUGGUAUCAUCGGCGGUGGAUGAGCUGUAGAAGGUGGCGAACCUCGUUUCACAACACUAUACAUCUUCGACGGUAGGUUUUGUUCUGAAAGCUCGCAGAUGAACAUAGCGUGAGGGAGAGGAACGUAGCAAAAGAGCAUGAUGUGAGAGGAAUGGCGAAGAAUGGAAAAAGGGAAGAGAAGGGGAAGAGAACAAAAGGCGAUAAGGGCUAACCUGUGGGCUGAAUGAAGGGACGGGGCGCACCACUCGAGAGAACUGGGGAUACCGACGCCAACCGGUGGGAGUUGCGAGUAACAGGCUGGUCAGACACCAACGACCCACAGCUACCGUUGACAGCGCCAAUAUCGAGUAAGUGAAACGCAGAUGUAAUGAAUCUCCACCUCUUCAGGCGAAAACGUGAAACUCGAAACUGAAAGGAUAGAGGGGCACUGUGGAUAGCAAUCAUUCCGUCAACAGUACAAGCUCUGUUGGAGUCUCAUCCAGAAUGAUGAGAUGGGGAGAACAAAUUGAAGGAUAGAGUGGCACAGGAUAGCAGAUCCCUUAAUGAAUAGUGGGGUUGGGUGUAUAUGAACAGUACG